rnacentral:rRNA from 1 species
UACGGAGGGUGCGAGCGUUGUCCGGAAUCACUGGGCGUAAAGGGUGCGUAGGCGGCCUGGUAAGUAGGGGGUGAAAUCCUGCGGCUUAACCGCAGGGCUGCCUUCUAAACUGUCAGGCUAGAGCACGGUAGAGGCAGAUGGAAUUCCCGGUGUAGCGGUGGAAUGCGUAGAGAUCGGGAAGAACAUCAGUGGCGAAGGCGGUCUGCUGGGCCGUUGCUGACGCUGAGGCGCGACAGCGUGGGGAGCAAACAGG